rnacentral:rRNA from 1 species
CCUACGGGUGGCAGCAGUGAGGAAUAUUGGUCAAUGGGCGCAAGCCUGAACCAGCCAAGUAGCGUGAAGGAUGAAUGCCCUACGGGUUGUAAACUUCUUUUAUAAAGGAAUAAAGUGAGCCACGUGUGCCUUUUUGCAUGUACUUUAUGAAUAAGCAUCGGCUAACUCCGUGCCAGCAGCCGCGGUAAUACGGAGGAUCCGAGCGUUAUCCGGAUUUAUUGGGUUUAAAGGGAGCGUAGGUGGGUUGUUAAGUCAGUUGUGAAAGUUUGCGGCUCAACCGUAAAAUUGCAAUUGAUACUGGCAGUCUUGAGUACAGUUGAGGUAGGCGGAAUUCGUGGUGUAGCGGUGAAAUGCUUAGAUAUCACGAAGAACUCCGAUUGCGAAGGCAGCUUACUAAGCUGUCACUGACAUUGAUGCUCGAAAGUGUGGGUAUCAAACAGGAUUAGAUACCCCUGUAGUC